rnacentral:tRNA from 1 species
GGGGUCGUAGCUCAAUCGGUAGAGCAGCCGGCUUUUAACCGGACGGUCGUGGGUUCGAAUCCCUCCGACCCCA